UGGGGAAUUUUGGACAAUGGGCGCAAGCCUGAUCCAGCCAUGCCGCGUGUGGGAAGAAGGCCUUCGGGUUGUAAACCACUUUUGUCAGGGAAGAAACGGCUCUUACUAAUAUUAGGAGCUAAUGACGGUACCUGAAGAAUAAGCACCGGCUAACUACGUGCCAGCAGCCGCGGUAAUACGUAGGGUGCAAGCGUUAAUCGGAAUUACUGGGCGUAAAGCGUGCGCAGGCGGCUUUGCAAGACAGGUGUGAAAUCCCCGGGCUUAACCUGGGAAUUGCGCUUGUAACUGGCAGGCUAGAGUGUGGCAGAGGGGGGUGGAAUUCCACGUGUAGCAGUGAAAUGCGUAGAUAUGUGGAGGAACACCGAUGGCGAAGGCAGCCCCCUGGGUUAACACUGACGCUCAUGCACGAAAGCGUGGGGAGCAAACAGGAUUAGAUACCCAAGUAGUCCCUGAGCGGGCUGGCAAGGCGCAU
rnacentral:rRNA from 1 species